CGCCUGUUUACCAAAAACAUCGCCUCUUGCAAAGCUAAAGAAUAAGAGGUCCCGCCUGCCCUGUGACUAUUAGUUUAACGGCCGCGGUAUUUUGACCGUGCAAAGGUAGCGCAAUCACUUGUCUUUUAAAUGAAGACCUGUAUGAAUGGCACAACGAGGGCUUAACUGUCUCCUCUUUCAAGUCAAUGAAAUUGAUCUCCCCGUGCAGAAGCGGGGAUAUAAACAUAAGACGAGAAGACCCUAUGGAGCUUUAGACACCAAAGAAGAUCCUGUCAAGUAACCCCCCACAAGGGUCUGAACUAAUGGAAUCCUUCCCUAAUGUCUUUGGUUGGGGCGACCGCGGGGAAACAAAAAACCCCCACGUGGAAAGGGAGCACCCCCUCCUACAACUAAGAGCCGCAGCUCUAAUUAACAGAAUAUCUGACCAAUAAGAUCCGGCAAUGCCGAUCAACGGACCGAGUUACCCUAGGGAUAACAGCGCAAUCCCCUUUUAGAGCCCAUAUCGACAAGGGGGUUUACGACCUCGAUGUUGGAUCAGGACAUCCUAAUGGUGCAGCCGCUAUUAAGGGUCCGUUUGUUCAACGGUUAAAGUCCUACGUGAUCUGAGUUCAGACCGG
rnacentral:rRNA from 1 species